rnacentral:lncRNA from 1 species
GCCCGAAUUUGAUACAAAAACUAAUAGUAAGUUUUCAGAUAUCCAAGUAAAUAUAAAAGAAAUAAUAGAUAUUAUUCAGAUAUUAGAUCCAAACAAAGCAUCUGGUCCUGAUGUGAUCAGUCAUAAGAUGCUAAAGCUGUGUCCAGAAAAGGUAGCAGUUCCGCUCCAUAUUAUAUUUAAUAAAUCCUUAAGAGAGGGGAUAUACCCAACUAGCUGGAAGAUAGCAAAUCUGAUACCCAUUUUCAAAAAGGGAGAUUCAUCUCUUGCCAUCAAAUUAUAGACCGAUAUCCUUAAUUAGUUGUGUAGGAAAAGUUAUGGAAAGAGUUGUGUUUAAGCACUUAUACAAUC